GAAAAUACUAAACCUAAUAGAACUUUUUAAAUAAUUUCUAAAUAAUAAUGUUAGAAAUCUAAACUUCCUAAUUAUGAUAGAAUGGAGGAUCUUAAUUUCACAAGUAAAAAUUAAAUCAAUUUAAUUCCUAAGUUUAGUCUUUCUUGACUAACAUCAUUCUCUCUUGGUUGGAGCAAACUUGAUCUUGAGUUUUGUAGUGCUGAAGAAUCAAGAGUCGAAUUUUGAGAGCAAGCAACUCUAAUCUUCUUGGAUGGUAG
rnacentral:misc_RNA from 1 species